GCAGAAAUUUCCACAGAGGAUCAGAGUGAACACAUAAUGGAAGAGUCACAUCUUCAGCUGUCUCUACUGAGUAUACCACGCCUUUCUUCUCAGAUACCACAAAUUGCAUGGAACAGUUGUUUUGAGGAAAGAAAAAGUCUACUAUGGGAAAAAGCAUCCUUUUUCAUCACCAUGGAAGUGAUGGAAAUCAUCCUAACUGUGCGAACUCGCAAGAAUGUGCCAACAUGUCUGGCAGAAAUAAUAGCAUUUAACUGAAGGGGGAAACAGAAGACACACUGGCAUUUCCACUGCUAGCAAAUAUGCUAUCACUUUCCCUAAUAAUUACUUCAGGUUGCACAUGGUUGACAUUUACAACAAGAAACAAAACAGCAAUCAAAAGCAAAUACCAUGAAAGGUACAAACCUAAAAUAAUAAGAUAACUUGGAUCACAGUAUUUACUGAAAAUAUUGAUUCAUUUCUUGGAAUAUUCUUUGUAUAAAAGAUAUAUUUAAUUAUCUCAUUGGUGUGGCAAUCUGAUUUUCUUAUUAAUAAAAGUAACUUAUGAAAAUUACUAGAUCA
rnacentral:lncRNA from 1 species